GAUGAAGAACGUAGCGAAAUGCGAUAAGUAGUGUGAAUUGCAGAAUUCAGUGAAUCAUCGAAUCUUUGAACGCACAUUGCGCCCCGUGGUAUUCCAUGGGGCAUGCCUGUUCGAGCGUCAUUUGUACCUUCAAGCUUUGCUUGGUGUUGGGUGUUUGUCCAUUCUCUUGCAGAGGGACUCGCCUUAAAGUAAUUGGCAGCCAGUGUUUUGGUUUUGAAGCGCAGCACAAGUCGCGAUUCAAAGCUAUACGCCCGCUUCCACAAGCCUUUUUCACUUUUGACCUCGGAUCAGGUAGGGAUACCCGCUGAACUUAAGCAUAUCAAUAAGCGGAGGA
rnacentral:misc_RNA from 1 species